rnacentral:rRNA from 1 species
UACGGAGGGUGCGAGCGUUGUUCGGAAUUAUUGGGCGUAAAGAGCGUGUAGGCGGUUGAACAAGUCAGAUGUGAAAUCCCUCGGCUCAACCGAGGAAGCGCAUUCGAAACUGUUCAACUUGAGUACGGGAGAGGGGAGCGGAAUUCCCGGUGUAGAGGUGAAAUUCGUAGAUAUCGGGAGGAACACCGGUGGCGAAGGCGGUUCUCUGGCCCGAUACUGACGCUGAGACGCGAAAGCGUGGGGAGCAAACAGGAUUAGAUACCCGAGUA